rnacentral:tRNA from 1 species
GAAGAAAACAAGAGACCGCUAAUUUCUAACCCUGAGACUAACACCCCCAGCUUCCCC